GGCAGCUCUCCCUGAAAGCAGGCGGUUGGGGAGCGGCAGGGAAGCAGCGCUCAGGGGAUGGCAAUCCCAAGAGAAGGACAGCUGCCACGGGGAGCCCAAGGGUCUGGAACAGGAAGCGUCUGGAAGCGGCGGGUGUAGCCUAUACCCAUUCGUGAGGCCCCCACGUGCCCAAUGACGUGAAUAUCCAUGCUCAUCAGACUUCUAGUGACUCUCUCAUUCUGGAACAUGAGUGGUGUGCAAACUUCAAAGAGCUUAUAGGGCCGAAGUUCUAUUUUUCUGGCUCAACUCAAGGUUCUGAAACCAAAGGAAGCAUUAAUGCCCCACCCUGGAAAUGCGGUUUAUGUUUCAGUUCUCUCCAGUGGCAUAAAUACACUUAGCCAAACAGAAUGAGCAGUUUGCAGAACGGCUUAGCAUACUGGGCUCCGCUCCCUCCUGCGGAGCUCCUGGCAGGUGCAAAUCCCUCUGAGGUCACCUCUCUUGACUCCUGGGUGGGGCGUUGGGUUUGCUAGGUUUGGGGGACAAAACUUGCUCCCACACCCCAAACAGCCUUCUGGGCCCUGGGGAGAAUUCUCAGGCCCCAGAAUUCUGCUAAUGCUGCUUCCUCCUACGCUCCACCCAAAAGUGACCAUUUUCAGUCUGUCCUGGACUUGAGUGCCCUCUGAGCGAGCACCAGCCUCAGCACACACAUUGCCAGGAGCGUGGGAAUGAGUGGAGAGAGCAGUGUGGUACAAUGGGAAGAGGUUUGAAUCUGCAGUUGGGAGAACUGGUUUCAAGCGUUAGCUCUGCCCCUUACCUGCUUAUUUAUUCAUCUGUGUAUUUGCUUCUUUCCCUUGGGAAAAUCAGUCAACCUCUCUGAGCCUCUGCUUCCUUAUUUGUAAAAUGGGAAUAAUAAUAAAACCUUGAUUGCCUGUGGCUCCUGGGAGACAAUGGGAGAGCAGAGGAACUCUUCAAAAUUCAAUUUCAUGCAGAACCCCAAUAUAGAAAACAGAUUUAAAUGGUAUUUUAUAUGAAUAAAUGUAUUUGAUAAGUUAA